rnacentral:misc_RNA from 1 species
UUUAAUUCUCUUAAUAUAAGUGCAUUUCUCUUUAACAACUUAAACCCCCCCACCCAAUUAACACUUUUUUCUUGCUCCAUGGCAUCUUUGAUUAAGUUUGGAUUAACCAUGGAGCUUCUUCUCUUAUCAACAGGACUUAUUUCUACUUUCUUCAUGAUCAAAAAAGCUAUUAGUCCUUAUUACUUAUUUAACAUGUUCUUUGUUAAUUUAAGUGAAAUCUUGAAG